GACGACGCUGGCGGCAUGCCUAAUACAUGCAAGUCGAACGAGUUGCGGACGGUUGGGUAACCCGUGGGAACCUACCCAUCAGAGGGGGAAAACACUUGGAAACCGGUGCUAAUACCGCAUACUGAUGGAUGGACCCUCCGUGCAUUAGCUAGUUGGUGAGGUAACGGCUCACCAAGGCGACGAUCUCUAGCUGGUCUGAGAGGAUGAUCAGCCACACUGGGACUGAGACACGGCCCAGACUCCUACGGGAGGCAGCAGUGGGGAAUAUUGCACAAUGGGCGCAAGCCUGAUGCAGCCAUGCCGCGUGUAUGAAGAAGGCCUUAGGGUUGUAAAGUACUUUCAGCGGGGAGGCGUUACCCGCAGAAGAAGCACCGGCUAACUCCGUGCCAGCAGCCGCGGUAAUAC
rnacentral:rRNA from 1 species